UACUGUGUAGAUCAGUUGGUAGAGCGUCGAUCUAGUAAUUCGAAGGUCGCGGGUUCAAAACCGAGCCGCGGCAG
rnacentral:tRNA from 1 species